ACCCAAAGCUUAAAGUUGAUACCAAAGCUUUAACAACUUUUCCCAGAUUCCAUUGCUUUUCCUUUAUUAGAGCUAGUUAGACAUGGCCGCUGCCUCUCACGUCUCCCACGCUAGCCGGAACUCAAGAACAAAGCGUUCUCCAGAAGCAUGUGUCCUUCUUCGAUCGGAACCAUGACGGCGUCGUCUACCCAUGGGAGACCUUCAAAGGUUUUAGGGCGAUUGGGCGUGGGAUUCCUCUGUCCACCUUCGCCGCCGUCUUCAUCAAUGUCGGUCUCAGCAGGAAAACUCGUCCGGUAAUUACAUACUCGCCUUUUUCUUUCCUUAAAUUUUUUUUCUUGAAUUGCCUGUCUUGCAUUUUUCAUACUAGCUUGUUGGCACACAUUGUGAUUGCGUCAAUAUACAGAUGGUAUAAUCCGCACGCAACACUAUCAAUUGCUUGUUUCUUGGUGCCAUGUUUAAUUAGUACGAGAACAUCACAUGCUUUUGUUCA